AGGGUUUGAUCAUGGCUCAGGACGAACGCUGGCGGCGUGCCUAACACAUGCAAGUCGAACGAGUCCAGUCCUUCGGGACUGAGGCGAGUGGCGGACGGGUGAGUAACACGUGAGCAAUCUAUCCUGUUGCGGGGGACAACGAGGGGAAACCUUCGCUAAUACCGCAUGGUCGAGAGAUCCGCCUGGGUCUUUCGGGAAACGUGGCCUCUUUACAAUGCUACGGUGGCAGGAGGAGCUCGCGGGCUAUCAGCUAGUUGGUGAGGUAACGGCUCACCAAGGCUACGACGGCUACGGGGUCUGAGAGGACGACCCCGCACAUUGGAACUGAGACACGGUCCAGACUCCUACGGGAGGCAGCAGUGGGGAAUAUUGGGCAAUGGCCGAAAGGCUGACCCAGCGACGCCGCGUGUGGGAGGAAGCCCUUCGGGGUGUAAACCACUGUCAGGAGGGACGAAAGAGCUCAUGGUGAAUAAUCAUGGGUAGUGACGGUACCUUCAAAGGAAGCACCGGCUAACUCUGUGCCAGCAGCCGCGGUAAUACAGAGGGUGCGAGCGUUGUUCGGAAUUACUGGGCGUAAAGCGCGCGCAGGCGGGUCCUGUAAGUCGGAAGUGAAAUUUCGGAGCUCAACUCCGAAGCUGCUUCUGAUACUGCGGAUCUAGGGACUGGUAGAGGCUGGUAGAAUUACAGGUGUAGCGGUGGAAUGCGUAGAUAUCUGUAAGAAUACCCGUGGCGAAGGCGGCCAGCUGGGCCAGGUCCGAUGCUGAGGCGCGAAAGCGUGGGGAGCAAACAGGAUUAGAUACCCUGGUAGUCCACGCCGUAAACGAUGGGCACUAGGUGCCGGGGGGGAGCGACCCCUUCGGUGCCGCAGCUAACGCGAUAAGUGCCCCGCCUGGGGAGUACGGCCG
rnacentral:rRNA from 1 species